UACAGAGGGGGCAAGCGUUGUUCGGAAUUACUGGGCGUAAAGGGCGCGUAGGCGGCCUUCUAAGUCGAACGUGAAAUCCCCGGGCUCAACCCGGGAACUGCGUCCGAUACUGGAAGGCUUGAAUCCGGGAGAGGGAUGCGGAAUUCCAGGUGUAGCGGUGAAAUGCUUAGAUAUGACAUAGAACACCAAUUGCGAAGGCAGCUUACUACACAGUAAUUGACACUGAGGCACGAAAGCGUGGGGAUCAAACAGG
rnacentral:rRNA from 1 species